rnacentral:rRNA from 1 species
AAGGUAGCAUAAUCAUUUGCCCUUUAAUUGGGGGCUGGAAUGAACGGAUACACGAGAGAAGAGCUGUCUCCUCCCUAGUAAUAAAAAUUAGCAUUUAGGUGAAGAGACCUGAAUUUAAAUAAAGGACAAGAAGACCCUAUUGAGCUUGACUUUUUGGAGGGGCAAUUUACGCUUUCCGUGAAGUUUGGUUGGGGCGACCGGGGAAUAGACAAAACUUCCUCGAGUUUAAAGGCUUGCCGGCCUUCAUUGAUCUGAUUUUCAAUUAAAGGAAUAAGCUACCAUAGGGAUAACAGACUAAUCCUCCUAGAGAGUUCACAUUGACAGGAGGGAUUGGCACCUCGAUGUUGGCUUAGGGCAUCCCAUUGGUGCAGGCGCCAAUAAAGGUGGGUUUGUUCAACCCGUAAUGCCUUACGUGAUCUGAGUUCA